ACAGUGAAGAAGGCAUGCAGGAAGAGUCUCAGGGUUAGGAGCCCACAGGCUGGACUCACUCCAGCCUCUGCAGAGUCAGAACGGAGCCUCAGGAGGGAUGGCUCCGCAGCAAGAAUGGCCCUUUGUCUGGACCAGAGCCUGGGAGAAGCAGAAACAUGCGGCUCAUGCUGAGAAAGGCUUCAACGCCUGGCUCCCACUUGGGGUCCACCUUAGAAGACAGACCAAAGUGUAGCUGUUCCUUGAGGACAGGGCAGUCUCUGGCAGACAGAGACAGGAACUGAAACACAAGCCGCAGACCUCAGGUUAACCCAUGACAACCCUCGGCACAGCCAGGGGCUUGGCUACUCAUUCUGGUGCCCCGUGGCUCAGCUGAGGACUUUAGAGUCUAAUCCUCAGCUCGGAUCAGAGGGCGGCUUGGGCCACCAGCACCUACCUGAGGCUGUGGCCGCCGUGGCCUCUGCUUUGUCUGGAACCAGCCUGAUGCCAUCAGACACGUCCACCUGGUGAUCAGCCUCCUCCCUUGAGGCCCCAUCAUGCUGUGGUGACAGAGGACUGCCUCUAAUGUGUUCCUUGCAGAAGAUGAAGCACCAGCAGUCGGACAUGGGGCUGUGAUGUCAAAGGAACAUGAGGUUAGGUUGCAGGAGAUCAAAGGAUUGCUUCUUUGGUCAAGAACAAAACCACUAGCUACAGUCUUUAGCAUUUAUUCUGA
rnacentral:lncRNA from 1 species